GCCAACACUGGGACUGAGAUACUGCCCAGACUUCUACGGAAGGCUGCAGUCGAGAAUCAUUCGCAAUGGGCGAAAGCCUGACGAUGCGACGCCGUGUGAGCGAUGAAGGCCUUAGGGUCGUAAAGCUCUUUCGCUUGGGAACAAGAGAAGCUGACAAAUAAUCAGCUAAUUUGAGGGUACCAGGUAAAGAAGCACCGGCUAACUCC
rnacentral:rRNA from 1 species